GUCAGUUUAGCUCUUGCAAAUUUGUUGUUAGUAUGUUAUGUUCUUUGGAAUAGGAUUGAUCAUUAUUUUGUUUUAUAUGAUAUUUGCAAUUCAACAGGUCUUGGUAGUAGCAAUUUUAGAGUCCUAAGCGCUGUGUAUAUAACGAGAAUUUUUAGGUAGUGUGAAAUGUCACGAACUGGCUGUUGGGUGAUAUCAUAUUGACUACGUAAUUUUCAGUCAGACACAUUCCAUCACCUGCUUAGGCAUAUUAAGUCCAAUGAGACUUGGGGAGUCUAAUUGAAACCUACGCAUGCAGCUACUGGUUUUGCCUGAAAGGCUCAAACACAUCUUAUAAAGAGCAAUAUUAAGGACAUGAAUAUCAGUUCAUAUUUGAAAAUUAGUAUCACCUGGUUUCAUCUCUAACGCUCAUGAAUAUGAGCUGACAGGCUCUGAUUUUUGAACUUUACAAGUUAUACGUGUGAGUUAGAUCUCUUUCUUUGAUUCCCUUUUUAUAACUAUAACACAAAUGUUUUUUCCCCUCUUUUUUAAAUUUAUUCUAUGAAUUUCCCUCUUAUUUUCUGUGUCAACUUUGUUCUAAAAUAAUAAAAUAAGUGAGAGAUUGCUUGGAUGUUUAAAAGGAAUUAGAGCCGAUUAUUUUCGGAGUAGAGCAUUUUGAAACAGGGUAUUCAAAGGAAAAAGGUGCCCUCGAGGUGCUAGACUUGUAAACCUUAGGCAAGAAGUGCUAGAAAGGCGCUUGCCUAGGUGAAUCAAGGCAAUAAAUUAGAUAACAAAAUGACAUUUAAACCAAUACAUACAUGUGUGUGUGUAAUUUGAAAUAAUUAUGAUGUUGACUCGUCGUCCACUUUUCCUAGCAAACUGGAAGUGGGACUGAACAUGGUUCUUCAUACAAAACAUGAAAGUCAAACGUUAUCUUAAAUGAUGUUUUAAAGUGAGAUUUACUACACCCUGUUAUAAAAUGCUAGAGUCUGGACUGGAGUAUUCCAGGUGUGUUCCCUGAUUUAUGCUCUUGAUAUGCUUAAAGUUUGUACGGGCUUGAUGCACUUGAAGGUCUAUGAUCUUAGACAUCAAUAUAUCAAUAUACUAGUUUUGCAUUAGAUAAAUGAACAUUUCAUCUGAACCUCUUAGCCAAACUCUUUGCCAGGACAUAUUUCCUUUAAAAGGCACUCCCUCACUAAAUUUGUGUUGGAGUUGAUUGCUUGUUAGGGUCACUCCUUUACUUUCAUGCAUUCACAGUGAGGUUCCUAGAAGACUCCUUUUUCUGUGCUAACUCGAAGGAAUGAAAGGGCAUUCCCGUUGUAUGCUUUUUAUGUACUUAGACGUCAUAAGAUGAAAUUGAACAUGCUUAUCGUCUUAUUUACAUGACUUGGACUGUGAACUACUGAAUAUUAAUGUCUUUGGUGGUUAAUAACUCACUAACAGUAUUCAAGGUUCUAGUGAUUUAAUCAACUAUUUACGACUAUUGUUACUGCAGAUCCUUUGAGUUGUAAUCUUAUGACUGAUCAAAUCGGGUGCAUCAUUGGUUGUCUCAAGGCACCUUGUGGAAUACAUUCAAAUGU